UGUAAAUCACAUACAGCGACAAUGAUA
rnacentral:sRNA from 1 species